CCGCGGAAGAGCAUUUAACAAAGAGUUCAAGCAGAUUGUUUUAAACUUUAACCAGUAUAUGCCGGGUCCCCGAUUCCGGGAACCCGGUGGUAAAAACUGGGUCCGCGACCAGGUGCCCGGCAUUGAGUCCAUGAAAAAAAGCAGCCGUGGGCAGUGGUAGAUUGCUCGCCUCAGAAACAAGAAGAAGCGCGCUCCCACUCGCUUCUGAAGAGCACGCCCCUCCCCCUAUUUUUUUUUUUUUUUUUUGAGGACCUUCUUCUUUUAAAUAAAUUCAAG